rnacentral:lncRNA from 1 species
CCUAAACAUCAUACUUCAAACCUUGUAAACAAAUAUACUUCAUACUUAACAAUAGUUUUUAUUAGCUUUUUGUGGCCUUUGAUUGAUUUUGAUCCAAAGAUCCAAAAUCACUCUCUUGUGAUCUUCAUCCUUCUUUCUUAUUGGCAUAUCCUUCAAAAUUAGAAUUAAUAUUUUUGGCCGUUGAUUAAUUGUAAUCAAAUGGUCCAGAAUUAGUUAAACUUUGUUUCUUCACCCCUCUCCCUCAUACGUGUCUUCAUCUCACUCUCCUCUUCUCUGUCUCUUUCCUUUUGUUUUUGUUCUUCUUCCUCUCUCUAACGAAUCUCGCUUUCAUCUCCGUCUCACAAUCUCUUCGUCUGUAUCUAACUCAUCAUUCUUCUUGGCAACAAACCAACGACCGUAUGGAGAAAAGCUAGUGAAGCCGCCGCCGAUAGUGCCAGUGACGAGGCCUCUACACCGGGACGACUCUCUCCUCCUCUGCUCCGCGACGACUCUCCUCCUCUGCUCCGCGAUGACUCUCUUAUCCACUACUUCGUGACGCUUCUCUUCAUCUGCUCCUUCACGCCUCCUCUCAUCGUCUGCUCGUGAUGGCUCCUCUCUUCUGUGACGUCUCUCUCCUCCUCUGCUCCUUGACGCCUCCUCUCCUCGUUUGCUCCGCGACAACUCCUCUCUUCCUCUGCUCUGUCACGCCUCCUCUCCGCGUCUGUUCCUCUCCUCGUCUGCUCCGCGACGGCUACUCUCCUCGUCUGCUCCGCGACGGCUACUCUCCUCGUCUGCUCUCGUGUGUCAUGGCGGCUGAAGAAACAAAAUUAUGGUUAAUUUUUUUGUUAGGUUAAGCCUUUUUAGGUUUAGAUUUCUAAACCGGGUUUGUGUGUAAACCAGUGUUGAUAACCGAUAUCAUUUGUAAACCAAAAUAUUAAUAAUAAACCAC